ACCAAAUGUCAUCCCCAUUGUAUUCAGCUGCUUACAUCCUUAACCCAGCCUGUUUAUUCACUUCUGUUGAUCCAGCAGAAGCACUAACUAUGCAUAUGGUUGGAUUUAUUGAUGUCUUGGAAAGAAUGAUUGCAGAUAGAGGAGAACAGGACAGGAUCUCAACUUUGUUGGACUUCUACACAAAAAGUGAAGGAAUAUUCUCAAGGGAUAUCGUAAUAAGACAUCGGACAAUGAAAUUACCCACUGACUAGUGGGCUGCCUAUGGAGUGGACCCGAAAAGGAAGGAUCCAGCUCUAAAGAAGCUGGCUAUAAAGAUUCUUAGACUUACGUGUUCUGCUAGUGGUUGCGAGCGCAAUUGGAGCACGUUCGAGGCGAUUCAUACCAAGAAAAAGAAUCACCUUGAGCAAAAAAAGCUCAACGACUUAGUUUUCGUUCAAUACAAUCAAAAAUUGUGAGAACGAUUCCAAAGUAGGAAAGAAAAGCCUAGUUUCUUUGACCCUAUCUGCUUAGAUGAGUUGGAUGCAGAUAAGGAGUGGCUCGUAGAGACGGAGGA